AAAGGCUUGUUAAAACACACCUACCCCCAGAGUUUCUGAUUUGGGAGGUCCUGGUGGGGCUUGAGAAUCUGCACUUCCAACAAGUUCCCAGGUGACGUUGAUGCUGCUGGUCCAGGGACCACAUUUUGAGAAGCACUGAUUUAAACAACCCAGUUUCUCUGUGCGGAUCCUUUGCUUUGAAAACCCUUUUACUGCUCUGGCUUUGAAGGUGGAGUAAGGGGGCUACAAGCCAAGGAAUGUGGAACACCUCUAGAAGCUGGAAAAGGCAAGGAAAUAGAUGACUUGUGGAGCUCUGGAAAGGAACAACCCUGUCGACACCUUUAUUUUAGUCCAGUGAGACCCACGUUGGACUUCUAACCUACAGAACUUACGCGGGCCUCUCACUGUUGUGGCCUCUCCCAUUGCGGAGCACAGG